rnacentral:lncRNA from 1 species
UUACAUGGGGGAGGGGGAGAGACUGGGGCUCAGUAGAAUUUUUUUCUUUUAUUUAUUAUUUAUGAUAGUCACAGAGAGAGAGAGAGAGAGAGAGAGAGGGAGGCAGAGACACAGGCAGAGGGAGAAGCAGGCUCCAUGCACCGGGAGCCCGACGUGGGAUCCGAUCCCGGGUCUCCAGGAUCGCGCCCUGGGCCAAAGGCAGGCGCCAAACCGCUGCGCUGGGGCUCAGUAGAGCAGAGAAGUGACAAGUCACGGAGGCUCGGCCAGCCGGCUGCGAUGAGGCAGCUGCACCUGCUCGCUGGCAACCUGUGGGGUCAGAACCUGCUCUCCCCCAGAGCUGGGGGGCGGCCCUGUCCUUCCCGAUGAUUACAUUUCAAAGGGAUGAUUCUCAGGUCCCGGAGAAGGACACUCUGGGCUGUGAGAGGAACAUACUCCCAGUGGUCAGCCCUUUCUAACAGAUGCCCAAGAAAGGGAAGCCAGGAGCCUGGGGUCAGGAUUGGCUGCAACAAAGAGGAAAUUCCCCUGGCGCUUGAACUCUCUCAAUGGGGCGUCUUAGUGGGGGGCUGCAUCUCCAAGGGGGCUAGAGCCCUCCUGGGGACGUGCUCUUAGGUUGCUAGAAAACGUGCGAGUUUGGUCACAUGUCUUCGUGCAGAAGUUUGCAUGAGUCGUUAUCCGCGGAAAGUCCUGCAGCUCUCAGAAUUACAUUUAGGGAAGGAGAAGAAAUGGUUUCAAUUGUAUUUUUAAUAUUCUGUGUUGUGCCCAAGACUGCGAAUCUGAGAAAACCACCAAGGAGCCGACACGGAUGCAAGGGGAUGAUGCAGAGCCGCAUGUUAUUAUACCCACUUCCAAGCCCAGGACCUUACCAGGAUGUUCAGUCCUUCUGUGGGGAAAAUUUCUUUUAACAUGGAGAUGAGGGUUUUGGUGACAACCAUCAAAAAAGAGUAAAAGGCAUGACUCUAGGUCAAUUUACCAUCCUAAUUUCAAGACCUCCACUGCAUCACUUCAAUUGCUGGUGGGUUUUCAGAAGCUUUUCUAAAAUGGUUUUAAACACUAUUAUUAUAUUGAGGUGCCUCAGUGACUCAGUUGGUUAAGUGUCUGCCUUUGGCACAGGUAAUGAUGCCAGGGUCCUGGGAUGGAGGCCCCAGGCAGGGUCCCUGCUCAGUAGGGAGCCUGCUUUUCCCUCUUCCUCUGCCACUCCCCCUGCUUGUGUGCUCUGUCAAAUAAGUAAGUAAAAUAUUUUUUAAAUGUUUCAACUUAUUAAAAAAAUUCUAUCAGUUAUUUGACAAGCAACUGUUCACUCGCUGACGUGUUUCCAAUCCUUGGGGCUCAUGGGUGGCUCAGUGAGUCAAGCGUCUGCCUUUGGCUCAGGUCAUGAUCCCAGGAUCCUGGGUUUGAGCCCCACAUUGGGCUCCCUGCUCAGCAGGAAAUCUCCCUCUCCCUCUGCCACUCCCCCUGCCUGUGCUCUCUCUCUCUCUCUGUCUCUGUCAAAUAAAUAAAAUCUCAUUUUAAAAAGGUGUUUCUAGAAGAUCUCUGGGUGGCUCAGUGGUUUAGUGCCUGCCUUUGGCCCAGGGCGCGAUCCUGGAGUCCUGGCAUCUAGUCCCACGUCGGGUUCCCAGCAUGGAGCCUGCUUCUCCCUCCUCCUGUGUCUCUGCCUCUCUCCCUCUCUCUCUCUCAUAAAUAAAUAAAUAAAUAAAUAAAUAAAUAAAUAAAUAAAUAAAUAAAUAAAUAAAUCUUUUACAAAAAAGGUGUGUCUAAUCCUCAAGUAUAAUUCAUGUUUAGCAUAAUUAGUGAUUGCUUUACACUCUGUGUGGUAAAAAUAUUAUUUCAUGAAAAAUAUGUCACUUGACAUUUCAAGCAUUCUUCCCCUUAUAGAAGUAAAGGCAAAGCUUCUGACUACCCCUCUUUUUACCAAGGCCAGAGCUUCAUGAGCAUGCAGCCUGUGCAACAGCUCAAGACCCAUGCUUAGAAGGGCCUGUACUCGGUGCAGGGCUCUGCUACUGCCAUCUUGAAAUUCCUAAUGAUUUUGGAACAGGAGGUCUUUUCUUUUCCUUUUGUACAGGCCCUCCCCCCGCCGCCAAAUUACAUAGCCAGUCCUGGAUAGGGUCAAUACAGUAUUAAUACACACUUGACAUUAUUUAAUGAUAAUAUUUUCUGGAGUUAGAUCAUUUGUCCUUUACUCACCCACCUGUUCUGUGUUCUGCUGAGUUCACUCUGAGUUCAUGACAUUCACCAAGAUGACAUCCUUUUUUCCUCCAGUGGUAAUUCUAGGAAUCUGGUUGUUAGGUGAAGUCCUUGAAACUUUGGUUCCUCUUUCUUGAACAGGUUCUACUGGUUUACUUUCCAUGGUGUUUGGUGUUUGCUCAUGUUUGGCUUGUUAACAUCGAAGCUGCAGUUACCACAGACCUCAGUGGUAGGGGAGUCCUCUGCCAAGAAGCCUCUGCUCCUCGUUCUCUUGCUCUGGCUCAGGGUCAUCCACACUUUCCCCCCACCUUGCCUCAUUUUCUGGCAGGAUAAACACCACACUGGGUUGUUUGACUCCAAGCUUGGAGUUUGACUCCGAGCUGCUCCCCCUUGCUAAUGAGUGUGUUUGUCAUCAUAAGCUUUUCUUCUUGCUCUGAAUCUGGUUUGUCCACAUUUUCCCCAAUACACCUCACUUACUGAGAUGACAAGGACCACACUAGGACCACAGAACAUUUUCUAGAUGGCUGCAAAUUUUUAUGGGUGUAACUUCUGAGUGUUUUGUGCUUUAAAAAAAAAUCUCACUGUCCUGCCAUUUACCUCAAUUGUUAUGUACUUAAAAAAAAAACUACAAGUUAUUUAUAAAAAAAUAGAUACAAAUCCCAACUACAUGAGACUACAAGUAGAAUUUGUUAAAUUUUGGUAGUGGCUCUCUGCUUUAAAAAAAAAAAAGCCCUUUUCAAGAGAUAGAGAUGAUUUUUAUUAUGAAAUCAUCUGUUUAUAUUUUCUUACAUUUCUCCUUCCUUCUAAUUUUAAGAAUAUUUCAUCCAUAAAUGAGGAAAUCUUUCUGCUCUUGUGUUUCUCUAUAUCCCUCUGGACCAAAGGGAGUUGGAAUCCCCUUAUUUAUAACCCAGUGCUGUGCUAAGGUGCUGCUGAUGGUGGUGACCGUCUGGGACUGUGCACAGUGCAGCCAUUCCAAGAUGCGUGUCUAAAAAAGGCACACCCGGUCAUCCACAUAGGAUAUGUUACCUGCCUGCAUUUGUGCAGAUAAUUGUACCCCCACACCCAGAUAGGAAGGUGUAGAAUUAUGCUGUAUUAUCCUUGGACAAAAUCAAGUUGCAAUUUUUCUAAAGGGAAAAUUUAGGUCUCUCUUUUUUAAAAAAAGAUUGUAUUUAUUUAUUCAUGAGAGACACAGAGAAAGAGGCAGAGACACGGGUAGAGGGAGAAGCAAACUCCCCGCAGGGAGCCCGAUGUGGGACUUGAUCCCAGGACCCUAGGAUCACGCCCUGAGCCAAAGGCAGGCAUUCAACCACUGAGCCACCCAGGUGUCCCAAAUGAGAAAAUUUAGGUCUCUUGGUUUUAAAUGAAACUUUUAUAAAAAAUAAAAAUAUUUUCCAUCUAUUAUUUGCUGUUCUUUGCCAUAUAAUUAUAUAAUUUAUAUUUUAUUAUGUGUACUUAAUUCAUAUUUUGACACAUAGUUUAUUCUCAAUAAAUAUUUGUUAAAUGAACUAAGGGAGGGGGUUGAAGUAUUUUUUAAUGAAGCCAUUCACCUAGACCGCUGGUUGGGAUUGAGGCAGGUAGGGAUUGUGAAUUCGUCCGUGUGGCCAAUUGUUAUGUUAGUUUGUAGAGUUUAUUUCAGUUUUCAUUAUAAUAUUAUUACACCAUUUCUUUUAACAAGAGAUAAAUGAUGAUAGCCUUUGUUCUUUUAUUCAUAUUUGAGCAAUCUCUUCUUGAUUUUCAUGUAUUCCUAGGUGAAGGUGAAGACCUAAUAAAUUGUAUUAAUCUAUUGCCACAUUAAAAAUUACCCCAAAACUCAGUGUCCUAAAAUACUGAUUAUCUCACAAUAUCUGUGUGUCAAGAAUUUAGGAGCAGGUGAGUGGAUGUUCUGAGUCAGGGUCUCUUGAGGUUAGUCAAGAUGUUGGCCAGGUUUGCAGUUAUGUAGUCAUCUGAAGGCUUCACGGGGGCUGGAGGAUCUGCUUCCAUGGUGGCUCACUCACAUGCCUGACAAGUUGGUGUUGGCUCAGGGUCCUCUCCAAAUAAGUCUUUCCCUGGGCUACUUGAAUGUUCUUUUCACAUGGAGUCUGCCUUCCCCUAGAGUGAGAGGUUAAGACAGACCAAGAUUGAAGUCACAAUAUUUUUUUGACCUAGCCUCAAAAGUUACACACCCAUCAUUUCUGCAAUAUCCUAUUGGUUACACAAGUCGGCUCUGUUCAACAUGGGAGGGAACUACAAAAACAGCUUGAACACUCAAAGGCAAAAAAUCACUGAGAGCCCUCUUAGAACCUGUCACUUGAGGUAACAUGAAAUCAGAUGCAUCAUCAUUGUCCAACCAACUUGUCCCUGAGAUCCCUGCCCAGAGCAUCUCAGCUCUGCUUGAGCUACUUUUCCCCUGAACUUGUGAAGGACUCUUAACAGGCCCCCUCAUGCAGGCACUGAGUGAUACAGACCGUGUACUCUCACUCUGACAAUGAUAACCACUUUUGAGUUCUUUUGUAGCCUCCAUUACACCAAAUGUAGGGCUGGAAGUAUAGAUGGAGUCCAGGAGUUCUUGUUGAAUAUUAAAAUAUUGAUUUCUGUUUCAAAAUACUAAUUUUUGAGCUUCAGAAUUCUUUUUUUAAAUUUUUUAAAAAAUUUUUAUUUAUUUAUGAUAGAGAGAGAGAGGGGCAGAGACACAGGCAGAGGGAGAAGCAGGCUCCAUGCACCGGGAGCCCAACGUGGGAUUCGACCCCAGGUCUCCAGGAUUGCGCCCUGGGCCAAAGGCAGGCGCCAAACUGCUGCGCCACCCAGGGAUCCCUGAGCUUCAGAAUUCUAAACUUUCCCAGGAAUUUUUCUUUUUCUCCUACAAGGGCAGAUGUCUUCAUAAUUAUCAAAAUUACUUCAGUUAUUUGUGACUUUAAAAUCCCAUUAGGAUCUGCAUUCCAAGAUUCUUUAAACUACUGAAGCCCAACAUUUAAUUUAAUGAUAAACAAAACCAAGUCAAUUCCCAUUCACAAAUGACAAAUCAACGGUUGGCAACAAUUUCAACAUCUGCUUUUAAUUCACUUAAAAGCGUUAAGCAAACAGUGAUUAAAAAGAAAAACCUAGAAACUAUAGUAUUUCUCCAUUAUUCUUCUAGUAGUUGUCCUUACUAACCAAAGCUGACUUUUAUUUAGUAAGUUAUGUAGAUGGACCCGAAAUAAACAUUUUGAUGGAGAUUGACCCAUUCCUGGGUCUGGGAUGGUUAUGUUUUAAUGUGGGAGCCUUUCCUCAUUCCAAAUUUGUUCUCAAAUAUUCCAGACAAAGGACUCUUGUUAGGGUUGAGUCACUGCUUGUUGGAAAUAGGGAUAGUAAACAAUAUAUUAGCUGGAACUAGCCUAAAUUUUUAAAACUUACUGCUUUUUGUGAGUUCACACGCACAACCUAUAAACAGUAUUCUUAGACAAUGGCUGUGCUAUUCUUUAUGUGUGAUCUGUCUCCAGUCACCUCAUGCUCUUAUAGUCACCCUUUGUUUUAGGUAUAUGUCUUGCCAAAUAAAAUAGUGAGCAAGGAACCAUCUAAGGUUAUUAAAUUUAGUUACAUGAUAUAUGCUCUUUUAACAAUAUCUAUAAAAAAAUACAGGUAUGUUAUAUUUUCUAUUGAAUAUGUUAUUUCCAGGCUGGUUUCUCCAGUACCCACACUUUAAGUUGUACAUUUUAUCACUGUCAUUUCCACAUGCUAAAUCCACU